rnacentral:lncRNA from 10 species
GAACUCCAGUAUAUGAAAUAGAUACAAGAGACCCUGCCAUCAUUGAACAGGGAGUGAGGGAACAGGGCCCACUCACACUACAGUCUUUUGUCCCCUGCAGUGGCUGCAGAGGCUACAAAGAAUCCAGUUUGAAAAACCACUGGUCUAGUUUCCAUUGAGUUUGACCUUCACUCAAGAGGUAAGAUAAUCCAUGCUGGUCACACAGCUAAUUCAGUAGAACUGAACUCACCACACUCUCUCCUCUGCUGGUUCACUCCAUCAUAGCAAUAAAUGAAUUCAAGAACAAAGACCAUUCAAUAACUGGAAAUCCAAACUGAGAAAAAUGCAACACAAGAGGGCAGAAACAGUGCCAGUGCCUCAGAACUAAAGCCUCACAUCUGCCCUGCAGUCCUAAUGAGAUGGGCCAAGGACGGAAUUUCAGAGGCCUCAGGAUGUUGAGCAGCUGCUGUUUGCCACACUUGACAGUAAAUGCAAACAAAACUUCUCUUUGGCUUUAGAAUGCACUCUACAACUGUUCCUGCAGCAAAUUCACUGCAGGCUAGUAGUAAAAUGAGUCUGCAUUCUGGGAACAUGUUCAGAGUGGUGAGAGGAGGCAAACAGCUCCAAGACCCUGUGGCAGAAGGAAAAAAGGAGUGUGGUCCUGCGAUGGCAGAGUCUAAUGAGUAGGGCACCACAAACGGGAGAACCUGUAAAUAUCUGGACAACAGGCUGUGUCUUCAGGAGGAAAGCCAGUCGGGAAAGCCGAAGAGUGGGAGCCACACUGGUUGAAGAUGCCGGGCAUCCCAGCCUAGGAGAUAAAAAUAUAAUUAGUGUAAUCCUGAGAGCAGUGUGACAACACCUGCCUGGUACUUGCCUCUGGAAGGAAAGCUGCAGAGAGAAUAGGCACAGCAGAGUGGGGGUUAUACUCCUCUAUGUCAAGUGGCCAGACUGGAAUGCAAAGAACACAGCAUUCUUCUAAGAAGGGUCCACCAACAGGCACGGCCAUGCAAGCACUGCAUAUCCCCCAGGAUUCUGGCAUGUGUUCCCAAGAACAAUGUCUGCAGUGCACUCUUGCAUUUGUCGCUGUUGGCUUUCCAUUGUAAUACAGCUGGUUUGGCUGGAAGGAAAUUUGACAACGGGAGAUUUCUUUCCGUUUUCAGGUGAGACACUGGUUUGCCCCCAGCAUCCAUGGUCUUGUGGGCCACUAUUCUUCUGUGGGUCUUUAUGUGUUGAGGUUGGGGGGAGUGGAGAAUAGGGAUAUAGGGAAUAGGG